GUUUUUCUCUAUUGCCAAAACACAAAACCCAGUACUCUAAACCAAAUGACCAGUUACCUAAACACAUUUAGUAAAACUACCCCCCAUUUGCCACAACCACAAACACAAUUCACCUGUAGACACUGUUCACAAAACCCAUCCACUUUUUCUCAAAACUCUAAACACAUUUUGCCUAUAUCUUUGCUCCAAUAUGCAUUGUGAAGCUCAUGUGAUGCAAAAUGCCACCCACAGUCAGCAAAACUUGAACACAAUGAACAUAUCUGGUGUCAUUCAGUAAACACAACGACUCAUAAUUGAAAACACCUGUUGCAAAUGAUGUGACCUCACCUAUAUAAGUCAGUUUGUUGAAGGUUCCAAACAAAAAUGGAUGAUCAAGGCAGAAGAAGAGGAGUUCGUGUCAGAGGAAGGAGAGGAGAAGGAGGGCGAGCAAGACUACGCAUUUUCAUUACAGAUGAAAUGAGAGCAACAGUCAUUGACCACGUCAUUGUCCACGGCAUGACAAUGACCGAAGCGGGACAACGAGUCCAACCUAACCUCAGCAGAUUCUCAGUGGCCAACAAUAUUUGGGCCUUCAGAGAACACAGCAGAGUUGAAAGUUUGCCAUUUGCAGGUGGGACGCCUUCCAGAUUCACACCAGCCCAAGAGGUCCUCAUUGUGGAUAUGGUUCGGGAGAACAAUGUGAUAAGACUACGGGAGAUACAGGAGAGGAUCAGUGGUGACAACCAUAGACAGAGUCCUCAAGCUCAAGGGUACCCUUUGAGCGCAACUCUGACAGAAUAAAACACCUCCGUCACCAGAAUGUGCAACGGAUCUUCGAGUUGGAGUCCAUGGCCAUACCCCAUGAAUUUAUAUUUGUGGAUGAGGCUGGCUUCAACCUCACAAAAAGGAGGAGGAGAGGCCGUAACAUCAUAGGAGAAUAUUGCCUGUGACGUUGAUGAGGUCCUGUGGCCCGACCCAGCCUGACGACGUGAUGCCGCCCAAUGAUUUCAGUGUCCACAUACAACAUACUGUGUCAAUUUACAUGUACAACGUACUGUAAUAAAAUAAAUCGCACAUUGUGAACAUUGUGUUUUCAAUUGUUACUGUACUGUAUCUAUUGUGUGUAAUAGAUCCUCCAUGGAGUUUACAGUACUCAUUUCUGCACUGAGUUGUGAUAUUACUGCAUUUUCUGCAUUAUUCAUUAUUCCUAUGAAAUGCAC